AGAGUUUGAUCMUGGCUCAGAACGAACGCUGGCGGCGUGCUUAACACAUGCAAAGUCGAACGCGAAAAGUUUUCUUCGGAAGACGAGUAGAGUGGCGCACGGGUGAGUAACGCGUAAGUAAUCUACCCCGGCAUCUGGAAUAACUCACCGAAAGGUGUGCUAAUACCGGAUACGUUGGUAACAAGAAAGGUGGCCUCUGCAUAUGCUACCGUGCUGGGAUGAGCUUGCGUACCAUUAGCUAGUUGGUAGGGUAAAGGCCUACCAAGGCGACGAUGGUUAGCGGGUCUGAGAGGAUGAUCCGCCACACUGGAACUGGAACACGGACCAGACUCCUACGGGAGGCAGCAGUGAGGAAUAUUGCGCAAUGGGGGCAACCCUGACGCAGCGACGCCGCGUGGAUGAUGAAGGCCUUCGGGUCGUAAAAUCCUGUCAGAUGGAAAGAAGUGCAUAGUGGGUUAAUACCGCUAUGUUUGACGGUACCAUCGAAGGAAGCACCGGCUAACUCCGUGCCAGCMGCCGCGGUAAUA
rnacentral:rRNA from 1 species